CUUCCGCUCUUAUCCGUUACCAAAGAUGGCUGGCAUUCCAUAGCCCUACUGCGGCACGUCCGCGGCUGUAGUGCCGUGUUGCGGUGCCCCAAAAUAGCGGACUCUACACUGCCCUACUGCGACACGCCUGUUCCUUUACUCCUCAGUUGGGCUUCCGCUUAAAUCAGUGGCUAAAGAUGGCGGACAGUCUAUAGCCCUACUGCGGCACGUCCGCGGCUGUAGUGCUGCGUAGCUGUGGCCAAAAUGACAGGAUACUACACUGCCCUACUACUACACGCCAGUGCCUUUUCUCCUCAGUUCGGCUUCCACUCUAACUAAUGGAAAAAGAUGUCGGACACUCCAUGGCCCUUCAGCGGCACGUGCGCUGCUAAAGUGCCGCGUUGCAGUGGCCCAAAAUGGCGUACUCCACACUGCCCGACUACGACACGCCAGUGCCUUUACUCCACAGUUCGGCUUCCGCUCUAAUCAGUGG